rnacentral:rRNA from 1 species
AGCGAACGCUGGCGGCAGGCCUAACACAUGCAAGUCGAGCGCCCGGGCAACCGGGAGCGGCAGACGGGUGAGUAACACGUGGGAACAUGCCCUUCGGUUCGGAAUAACUCAGGGAAACUUGAGCUAAUACCGGAUACGUCCGUAAGGAGAAAGAUUUAUCGCCGAAGGAUUGGCCCGCGUCUGAUUAGCUAGUUGGUGGGGUAAUGGCCCACCAAGGCGACGAUCAGUAGCUGGUCGAGAGGAUGAUCAGCCACACUGGGACUGAGACACGGCCCAGACUCCUACGGGAGGCAGCAGUGGGGAUAUUGGACAAUGGGCGAAAGCCUGAUCCAGCCAUGCCGCGUGAGUGAUGAAGGCCCUA